CAGGUGGCUUGCUCCUCCCACAUAUAGCAGGCUGGAGAUGACUAGAGCCUGAGUGUGCAAGGGUGCACUCCUACAGGACUCAUCCUGUCCCCAAUGGACACUGCCCUCCAACAGCAGACCCAGAGCAUCAACCAGCCAAGCAAGGAGAGGUGACCAGAGCAGCGAUGUGGGAUGGUCUACGUACCCAGCAUAUCUACAUCAGUAAAACUGCC
rnacentral:lncRNA from 1 species